GGAUGCGAUCAUACUAGCACUAAAGCACCGGAUCCCAUCAGAACUCCAAAGGCAAGUCCUUGUGUUGCAUUCC
rnacentral:rRNA from 1 species